AUAAAGAGGCGCCACAUACAAAAUGGAUGUGGCCCGACCACGUCGUAGCCGGGGUGAGCGAUUUGUGUGAUUGAUGUUUGCCGGAGGUUCAGGAUGCAAGGUUUAAUCAAAAAUACGGAGCAGAGGAAAGGGAUUAGAAGGAAAUUUAGGAGGCAAAGAUUAAUCACAGAAACGACGCAUAGGAAAGCAGGAUGAAGGCAGAUUGAUGAAAUUCAAAUUGGUCGAGGUGCUAUCGUUAACUUGAAACUUCGGUUUAUCGUGGUCAUUAUAAAGGAAAUGGUGACAGAUGUUCACUAAUUUUUUUCCCCUGUACCUGCUUAUCUUGCUGAUGAUGAGUCGCCUAUCUUUGUGUUCCCUACUGGAUUUAGAAUGAUGGAAACUCGAUGCAGGGCUUGGUGUUUGGAUGUGUUUGCCUAAUAAGGAUAAAAUUUUUGUGUAGUUUCUGUUGUAGGUAAUAUAUAGCUCAUCUGAGUUGUGGGCUAAAAUGAGGAUAAAAUUUCUAUGUGCUUUCUGUUCUAGGCAAGAAACUGAAAGUGGAAAAUGAUACACCACAAGGUGGUAACAGAACCAUGGAUGUCGAGGAAGUGAGAGGAGUACUGACCCCAUUCUCGAAUGUUGUUCAAAGGUGUGAGGAUGUUGGUGAUAAAAAAACAAGGUUGGAUUUGAUGAGUUCUAGGGGAGUCUCUAAGGAAGAUGGAGGCAUUUUUGUUCUACCGUUGAUGAGACUUGUGGGGGGUGUUCUAAAAGACAAAGGCCAAGCUCUGCGAGGAAGUUUAUGAACAGAUCAAUAUCAUUUGCAUUCACUAUCAUACUGCAAGGUUCCAACAUAUAAUUGAUUGUUGCAACAUUAUUCGCUAUAUUUUAUUACUCUCAACUGCAUGAAUGUAUGCAUCUUCUUGAUUUUGAAUUUUGUAUCCAAAGUCAUGAACAUCAAAACGUAUUAUCAUCACCCUAUUUUAUAACUUCUUAUACAUAAAGUGGAUAACUGUGAGGAUGAAAAUAUGAAUCUGCGGGCCUGUCAUCACAGUCAAGAGGAUGCGUGUUCAAUUCACGUCAGAUUCUCGGCCUUUCAGUUUUUCCUUUAUUAUGCUCUUUUGCAGCAUUGAUAAACCUAGAAUAGGUAACAGUAGCAUCAGACCAUAUACAAUAAACUUGAAUUGUUUUGUUAUACUCAAAUCAAAUGAAGAAGUUUGGUGAUCAGGUUAACGGAUUAUGACAUGAAUCAUAAUUCUUACCAUGUAGUAGAAUGAAUGUUUGUGGACAUAUCCAUGAACAGACAACAGAACGCAACGCGGCCAUUGGCGAUCAAGUGGCAUGAUUUUCCAUCCUUUUUUGAAAGGAAAGAUUUUAACCAGUAGAUUGUAAUCUCGGCAAUUGUGAAAAUACGCAUAACGAGUCUACAGGUGAGGUAUUGCUUCGUUGAUUUGCUUAAAUGGGUUUUUAUGCUAUGUUGUUGUUAUUCAUUCUAUCUCCACGAGUACUUGAAAGUUUAAUUCAAAUCAGGCUAGAUGGGAUAAAUACUUAUAUGCUAAUUCUUGAAGCAAUGAGAUUGUAUUAUUGUUGAGAUUUGAUGUUUAUGGCAGAAUUUGAAGUGGAAUUGCAUGAGUAUUGGUGGGCAUAUUAAGAGCAAGUCAAUUAGAAGCCAAAAUGGAUUUGAAAUAUUAUGGAAAGCAAUAUCCAAGGAAUUUUAUGGUUGUAAAUCGAAUGGAUAGAGAAUGGCGCAACUAUGGUGUUGAUGACCAAUGCAUGCAUGAUAACAACUUCAAGGUAGUGACUUGGUUCUGAGGUACUCUUUUUGAUAACCUAUAUAAACCUUUGCUUAUAAUGUUUAUAUUUUAGAUCCAUAUAGUAUUAUGCUCAUUGUUUCAUAAUUUUCACACCAAUUUAGUUUCAUGAAAUGAUCAAAACUGUGAUAUUAUUACUCAAAAUAAACCACUGAUCAGCGCACAACUUAGUUGCGUGCAAUGAGCAACACUACUUUAGUUUCUCUACGCUUCAUGUUUCCAUCUUUGUUUUGGGUCAUGUGAUUUGGUAGGUAUCAUAGAUAUGGUUUAUUUCUGGAAGAAUUUUAAGUUAAAACUUUACUUAAUUGGUAUUGCUUAUGUUUUUAUGUUCCAAAUAUCCUACGUUGUUUCCAUUCUGACAUAUUUGUCACUUCUUUCUCUACAUUUGUGAAAGCGAUAAUGAAUAUAUUGACCAUUUGGUCAUUGAUAUGUUUCCAUUUUUGUUUUCCGGAGAAAUAUUGAAAUAGCUAGAGCAGUUAAGCCUUGGACAGAAUAUUAAAUUAUCUCCUAGUAGUUUAUGUGGGAUCUUUAUCGAAGCAGUAUCUUCAAGUUAUGGUAAGUUCUGCAAGGUGUUCUCUAUGCCUAUACCUCUAUGGAGGUCAUUGCCAUAUUAUUAAGCUAAGUGUCAUCCUCAAUACGAUAGAAAAAGUGAAUCCAGAUGGAGACUGUAUUCAUCACAAUAAUUCUUCUGUUGGGCGUAGUACAUUUUAGGAGGAUUAAAUCUUCUCCUCAUGUAAAAAAUGUAGAAGAACGGUUACUGAAUCCCAUAAAUAGUGACAAUAAUCAGAAUAUAAUACAUGAAAGGUGUAGGUGCCCGAAUCAUAUUCCGCAGCCA